rnacentral:rRNA from 1 species
GAUGAACGCUGGCGGCGUGCCUAAUACAUGCAAGUCGAGCGGGGAUAGGGUGCUUGCACCUGAUUCCUAGCGGCGGACGGGUGAGUAAUGCUUAGGAAUCUGCCUAUUAGUGGGGGACAACAUCUCGAAAGGGAUGCUAAUACCGCAUACGUCCUACGGGAGAAAGCAGGGGAUCACUUGUGACCUUGCGCUAAUAGAUGAGCCUAAGUCGGAUUAGCUAGUUGGUGGGGUAAAGGCCUACCAAGGCGACGAUCUGUAGCGGGUCUGAGAGGAGGAACCGCCACACUGGGACUGAGACACGGCCCAGACUCCUACGGGAGGCAGCAGUGGGGAAUAUUGGACAAUGGGGGAAACCCUGAUCCAGCAAUGCCGAGUGUGUGAAGAAGGCCUUUGGGUUGUAAAGCACUUUAGGUAGGGAAGAAAGAUAGUAGGCGUAUAACCAACUAUUUUGACGGUACCUACAGAAUAAGCACCGGCUAACUCCGUGCCAGCCGCCGCAGUAA